AUUUCCCCACCAAUUUGUUUCCUCUGUUUCCAUUCUUUCUUCUUCAUUUUGGUGUUUUCUUCAAUUCCACUUUUUUCUUUUGUUUUCGGUUGAGUUUUAGAGUUGCUGAGGGCUCCCAUCUUCAUUCUAUUUUUUGCGAUUUUGGUUUGGGUUCUUUUUCUUUGAUUGGUCUGAUUUUAUAUGGUUUUAUUUUUGGAACAGGUUACAAUUACAACGUCGAUUUUGGCAAAGAAUUUGUGGGAGAAGUUAAGAAGAAGAUAGAGGCUCUUCAAACUAUUGGAGAUUCUCUGUAACUUCAAUCCAAGCAAGAUGGUUCAGGGUCGUGCUACUCUUACAAAGCAAUGAGUAAUCCCUUUGCAGCAUGCUCACCAAGUGUUUGAGAAUAUCACGCAGUGAAAGAUCCCCGAAACCCAAAUUCACACAGUGUGCCUUGCAUGCCCAUCAAGCCUGAUUUGAAGUGGCCGAAAGAGGCAUGGAUUCUGGGUCAAGAUGUUUCUGUCGGGUUCACUUCAAUCAUGGGAUACCAAAGAUACCACUAGAUCAUCAGAGAAAAAUUCAAUUGAAAAAAAGAUUGAAACUUAAACUGCUGAAGCGCAAACAUUUUUUAGCAAAAAAUGGGGAAGAAGAGAAAGCACAGUGAGACAACUCAUGAUGAGGCACAGCCCCAAAAGGAAUGCACACAUCUUGGUUUGAUCCGUGCCUUAGCUGUACGGACAAUGGGCUGCGUUCGUGUUGAUAAAAUUACUGAAUAUCUGUGUGAUCCCCUUCAAAGAUGCCUAAAUAUUUUGGAUAACCGUUGUACUGCUUCCAAAAAUAUUUUUUUUUCAGAAUUAAAGUAUUGAAGAGUAUUUUCCUCUAGAAAUAUGUUUCGGUAUUGAAAAGUACAUUUAAAACGGUUUAAAAUGGUUAUCUCCAA